ensembl:lncRNA
ACAUCGAUGAGAGCUGAUGCUCUCAACACUUCAGACCUCCGCCUGUCUCUGAGAAAACCAACAAUGGCUGUCAGCAGCAACUACACCUGCUCCACCAGUGCUGGGAGAGAAGAGCUGAGACUGACAGCUCUUUGUACAGGCCUUCACCUCCUCAUUCAUCCACAGUCUGCCUCCCUCUGCUCCAUCAGCUGACGUCCUCUGUACAACUACCUGCUGUGUGCACAUCUUUGAUUUCUUCUUCUUUGUAUCCUGCAAAGCUCAAACUUCACUAUAAUACAAAGACAUUUCAGAAACGC